rnacentral:rRNA from 1 species
UUUAGUAAAAUUAUAAUUUCGAUUAUAAUAACGGCUAUUUAAAUGAUCCAUGAAACGAUAAGUUUAUUUUUUCAAAAAUUAAUUUAAUCGUACCGAUAACCGCAUCAGGUCUCCAAGGUGAGUAGCUUCUGGCCAUUGAGUAAUGGUAAUUUAGGGAAUUCGGCCAAUUAGAGCUGUAACUUCGGGAUAAAGCUUGGCUCUGAUGGAAAUCAGAACCGAUAGUUACAAGGAGAGCCCAACUGUUUAAUAAAAACUUAGUGUCGCGUCAUACCUUUAUAAGUAAUAAACGUGACAUGAAUCCUGCUCAGUGCUGUGUUUGUUAAACUGGAUUAAUCCAUUUAAGCGCCGGUAAAUAGCUGGGGUAACUAUGACUCUUAUCAAAGUAGCGAAAUACCUCGUCACUUAAUUAGUGACCUGCAUGAACGGAGCUAUGAGGUUCUCACUGUCCCAAAUUAUCACUCAGCGAACCAACAGUUGUGGGAACGGGCACAAAUUAUCCAGCGGGGAAAGAAGACCCUGUAGAGCUUCACUUUGGUCUAAUCUUGUAUAGUUUCGUUAGGGGUGCAGUCUAGGUGGGAGAUUUUUAAUCAAAUAUGAGAAACCACUACCCUUUCUGGAAUUAUACUUACUAAAAUUCUUUUCUAAAUUUUAGGAUCGGAUUAGAUAGAAAGUUUGGCUGGGGCGGCACACCUUCGAAAAAGCAGCGAAGGUGUCCUAAGUUAAGCUCAGUAAGGACAGAAAUCUUACGUUGAGGAUAAGGCCAAAAGCUUAAUUUACUGUGCCUUUUUGUACUAGGAUCAGUUUGGAAACAAAGGCCUAACGAUCCCUAAUUAGUCUUAGGUGUGUAAGACUUGGGGUGACAGACAAGUUACCUCCGGGACAACUGGCUUGUGGCUGCUAAGAGAUCAAAUCAACGCAGCUUUUUGAUUCUUCGAUGUCGGCUCUUCCUAUCCUAGUGAUGUACAAGUCACUAAGGGUUGGAUUGUUCACCCGUAUUAGGGAUCGUGAGCUGGGUUUAGACCGUCGUGAGCCAGGUUUGUUUUAUCCUACUGGAUAUAAUUUAGCAUCUUGAUAGUAGUUUGAUUUAGUACGAGAGGAACUGUUGAAUAUGGUCUCUGGUUUGGGAAUUUUAUGAAAAUAAAAGUUCCAAAGCUACGCCGUCUGAGAUAAUGGCUGAAGGCCUCUUAAGCCAGAAACUCAUCUAAAAAUAGAUGCUUUAAACUAUUUA